UAGGGAAUCUUCCGCAAUGGGCGAAAGCCUGACGGAGCAACGCCGCGUGAGUGAUGAAGGUCUUCGGAUCGUAAAACUCUGUUAUUAGGGAAGAACAAAUGUGUAAGUAACUAUGCACGUCUUGACGGUACCUAAUCAGAAAGCCACGGCUAACUACGUGCCAGCAGCCGCGGUAAUACGUAGGUGGCAAGCGUUAUCCGGCAUUAUUGGGCGUAAAGCGCGCGUAGGCGGUUUUUUAAGUCUGAUGUGAAAGCCCACGGCUCAACCGUGGAGGGUCCUUGGAAACUGGAAGACUUGAGUGCAGAAGAGGAAAGUGGAAUUCCAUGUGUAGCGGUGAAAUGCGCAGAGAUAUGGAGGAAAACCAGUGGCGAAGGCGACUUUCUGGUCUGUAACUGACGCUGAUGUGCGAAAGCGUGGGGAUCAAACAGG
rnacentral:rRNA from 1 species